rnacentral:rRNA from 1 species
ACUCCUACGGUAGGCAGCAGUGGGGAAUAUUGCACAAUGGGCGAAAGCCUGAUGCAGCCAUGCCGCGUGUGUGAAGAAGGCCUCGGUUGUAAAGCACUUCAGCGAGGAGGAAAGGUUAGACGGUUAAUAACCGUCAGCUGUGACGUUACUCGCAGAAGAAGCACCGGCUAACUCCGUGCCAGCAGCCGCGGUAAUACGGAGGGUGCGAGCGUUAAUCGGAAUUACUGGGCGUAAAGCGCAUGCAGGCGGCCAAGUCAGUCAGAUGUGAAAGCCCGGGCUUAACCUGGGAAUUGCAUUUGAAACUGCUUGGCUAGAGUCCUUGAGAGGGGGUAGGAAUUUCAGGUGUAGCGGUGAAAUGCGUAGAGAUCUGAAGGAAUACCAGUGGCGAAGGCGGCCCCCUGGCAAGAGACUGACGCUCAGAUGCG